GAUGAACGCUGGCGGCGUGCUUAACACAUGCAAGUCGAACGGGAAACCUUUUAUUGAAGCUUCGGCAGAUUUAGCUGGUUUCUAGUGGCGGACGGGUGAGUAACGCGUGGGUAACCUGCCUUAUACAGGGGGAUAACAACCAGAAAUGGUUGCUAAUACCGCAUAAGCGCACAGGACCGCAUGGUCCGGUGUGAAAAACUCCGGUGGUAUAAGAUGGACCCGCGUUGGAUUAGCUAGUUGGCAGGGUAACGGCCUACCAAGGCGACGAUCCAUAGCCGGCCUGAGAGGGUGAACGGCCACAUUGGGACUGAGACACGGCCCAAACUCCUACGGGAGGCAGCAGUGGGGAAUAUUGCACAAUGGGGGAAACCCUGAUGCAGCGACGCCGCGUGAAGGAAGAAGUAUCUCGGUAUGUAAACUUCUAUCAGCAGGGAAGAUAGUGACGGUACCUGACUAAGAAGCCCCGGCUAACUACGUG
rnacentral:rRNA from 1 species